GGAAUAUUGCGCAAUGGGCGAAAGCCUGACGCAGCAACGCCGCGUGGGCGAUGAAGGCUUCGGGUUGUAAAGCCCUUUUCUGGGGGAAGAGGAAUGACGGUACCCCAGGAAUAAGUCUCGGCUAACUACGUGCCAGCAGCCGCGGUAAAACGUAGGAGGCAAGCGUUAUCCGGAUUUAUUGGGCGUAAAGCGCGYGUAGGCGGUUCCGUAAGUUGGAUGUGAAAUCUCCCGGCUCAACCGGGAGGGGUCGUCCRAGACUGUGGGACUUGAGGUCGGGAGAGGGARGUGGAAUUCCCGGUGUAGUGGUGGAAUGYGUAGAUAUCGGGAGGAACACCAGUGGCGAAGGCGGCUUCCUGGACYGUUCCUGACGCURAGGCGCGAAAGCGUGGGGAGCGAACGGGAUUAGAUACCCYGGUAGUCCACGCUGUAAACGAUGGGUACUAGGUGUUGGUGGUAUUGACCCCAUCAGUGCCGAAGUAACGCGAUAAGURCCCCG
rnacentral:rRNA from 1 species